rnacentral:rRNA from 1 species
GUUGACCUCGGAUCAGGUAGGGAUACCCGCUGAACUUAAGCAUAUCAAUAAGCGGAGGAAAAGAAACCAACAGGGAUUACCUCAGUAACGGCGAGUG